rnacentral:lncRNA from 1 species
AUGUACGGAACUCUCCAUUUCUGCAUUCUUGCUAUGCAUCCAUUCCACAAGGAAUCAUUGAGUGAAAAGGCACUGCUUGAUCCUGGUACUGGAGCCACAGAGAGUGUAACUGUGAUGAACCAGCCAACGUCCCACUUCCCUGAGAGACUGAGUCUUCUUCUACCUCCCCAGCCUCUCCUACUGACUCUGGGUGUGACAGAAGGGUCAGUCCUGGACCCUUUAUAAAAGCUCAUGUCUGGAGGCUGGGAAGUUCAAGAUCAAGAUGCUGGCAGAUUUGGCACUUGGUAAGGAUCCACUUUCUCUUAGGUGAUACCUUCUUGCUCUGUCCUCCCAUGGUAGAAGGGGUGAAUGAGUUCUCUGCAACCUCUUUCACAAGUGCACUAAUCCCAUUCAUGAUGGCAGAGCCUUCAUAACUCAAUUACCUCCCAAAAGACUCCAUAUCUUCAUACCAUCACCUUGUGGGUUAGAUUUCCACAUAUGAAUUUGUGGGUGGGGAGGACACAAACAUUCAGUCCUCAGCAGGAUGUUUCCAGAUUAGAUUCACAUUUAAAUUGCUGAACUCAGUAGGCUGCUGUCCCCAAUGUGAGCAGGCAUUAUAUUUGAGGUUCUGAAAAGGGAGACAAAGGAGAAAUUAGCCCUUUUUGCUUCCUGCCAGCUGCAUGAGCUGGGACAUCAAUCUUCUCCUGCCCUUGUACUGGAAUGUACACCAUUGACUCCCCUGGUUCCCAAGGCUUCCCAACUGGAACUGGAAUCAUACCACUGGCUUUCCUCACACUCCAGCUUGCAGACUGCAAACCAUGGGACUUCCCAGCCUCCAUAAUCAGAUGAGUCAAUGCCUCAUAAUAAAUAUCUUCCUGUUUACAGACAUAUCCUAUUGAUUCUGUUUAUCUGGAAAACCUACUACUCUAUCCUACCAAAACCAGCAGAAACACCACUUUUUCCAUGCAAUCCCUGCUAUUCCCAAUAGAUAGUGAUCUCUUCUGACCAUCCAUAGAAACUUACCUUUAUUUCUCUGUAGUAUUUAAUAUUUCUAGCCAUUUACUGAAAUAAUGCACAUGUGAAUCUAUAUGGUAGGUAAUCCAUUAAAAUCUCUUUCCUAUCUAAGGACUUAAAAUUCUGUUUGGUGAAUAAAUGAAAGUUUAGCUAUUAUGCCUCCUGGAAGUUCCUACUCUGAGAUAUUGGUUCAAAGCCAGUGUUCUUAAUCCUUUUUGUGUGUCUGGAUCAUGUUGGCAAUCUGGUAAAGCUUACAGAUCCCAUUUAGAACAGUGUUUUUAAAUGUAUAAAAUAAAAUUCACAGAUUUAUUUUAAAAAAUCAUUUAUACUGAAAUAUAGUUAUCAAAGUAGUUUUGAAAAACAAACUUGCAAUAGAAUAACAUUUGAUUCUAUAUCAAUGUAUCAAAUAAAUUAUAUUUAAAAUACAGACAAAUUAAAAAUAAAUUUAUUUUUUAAAGACUUGGGAGGAUGUUGUUUUUAUUCUUAAUAAGAAUAUUAAACUGUGGAGAAAUCUUUGAAAAAGCUAUAGGCAUGUCACGUUGGAUAAAAAACUGAUUUUGGCCAGCUGUGGUGGUUCACGCCUGUAAUCCCAACACUUUGGGAGGCCAAGGCGGGAGGAUCACGAGGUCAGGAGAUCGAGACCAUCCUGGCCAACAUGGUGAAACCCCAUCUCUACUAAAAAUACAAAAAUUAGCUGGGCGUGGUGGUGCACACCUAUAGUCCCAGCUACUCAGGAGGCUGAGGUAGGAAGAUCGCUUAAACUAGGGAGUUGGAGGUUGCAGUGAGCCGCCAAGAUCUCACCACUGCCCUCCAGCCUGGCAACAGAGUGAGACUCUAUCUCAAAAACAAAAAACAAAAAACAAAAAACAAAAAAAAAACACCUCAUUUUAAUUUUUUUGUUAUUAUGUGUUACAGGUAUGAAAAAUCUUGAUUUGCAAAGAUAAGUUACUACAAAUGGAUUAAAACUUUCAUAGCUACUUUACAAGACAGAGAUAGCUUUUUUCAAGAAACACAUGAAUUCUCCAUGAUUUUUUUUAGUUAAAUCCCAGUUGUAGUUCAGUUUUUCAACUGAGGACUAAUAAAUUCCUCUUUGGAUAGAUUAUCAACUUAAUAUGCUUUAUAUCAAAGAGAAAAAAGAGAAGAUGGUCCACAGUUCAACUUUGAUGCCAUCAAAAUAAAAUUACUUGUAAAGCUUUCUGGAAUGUUUCCAAAUUUCUUUUAAAGAAAUUGGCAAAGAAUUCUGCAUCUCAUGUUCAGAGGGUAAAGCAUCACCUCCAGUGUUGACAGUUGGCAAGGAUGUCCAUAUUAGCAGUUUAGGCAAGAAAGUUUGUAUAUUUCCAAGGGUAUCCAUUAUGGUGACAUUAAGACCCAUGCACUGUGUUCAAAAGGCUCUUGUCUUAUACACCAUUAAGAAUUCCUAUUUAAACGAGUUUUGAAAAAAAUUUUAAAGCAAUAAAAAUUACUCAUUUCUUCCUCAUAUUGAUCAACAAAUAAUUGUAGAUACCAAAUAUCGUAAAGUAGUAUGAAUGCACAGGCCACCACUGUGAGAAUACAUGACUUCAUGUUUGGGGAUGGUAGAGUUGAUCAAUAGCUGGCCAACAACAUUGCACACUAUAGUCAUAAAGAUUAUGAUUUCAUGUGAUCUUUCUAAUUUAGAAGUAAUAACGAAUAUAUUUUUGCAAUAUCCACAAC